UCCAGCCAUCAACCUUCAACAGUGCCAACCGGACUUCAACAGUGCCGACCAGACCCCUCCAACGGACAAAUUCCCUCUGAACUCCUCCAGCGGACGAACUUUCACAAUGCCUUCCAAAUUCUGCUGUCGGUCGACCUUCUGCUGGAUCCCUUAUGCAACCGGACCUCUCCAGCGGAUAGUCUUCAGACAAGCUUCUACAUCAGACAAAUUUCAGAUAGACUUCUCUAGCAAUCAAACUCCAACCGAAUUUCUCCAACAG
rnacentral:lncRNA from 1 species